GAUCAAGACUGCGUCCACUGCUGCCGAAGGCUUGUGUAAAUGGUCAUUGCGAUGGAUCAAUAUGAUAAGGUUGCCCGAGUGGUAGCUCCAAAGAAGGAAGCUUUGGCUGCUGCUGAGGCUGAGUUAGCUGUGGCUAUGGAGGGUUUGGAGAAGAAGCGGUCUGCGCUUCGUGAA